UGGCGGCGUGCCUAAUACAUGCAAGUCGAACGCACUGACGUCGACAGAAGGUGCUUGCACUGGAAGUUGAUUGACGUGAGUGGCGGACGGGUGAGUAACACGUGGGUAACCUGCCCUUAAGCGGGGGAUAACAUUUGGAAACAGAUGCUAAUACCGCAUAAAAGUUGAGAUCACAUGGUCUUAAUUUGAAAGACGGCCUUUGGCUGUCACUUAAGGAUGGACCCGCGGCGUAUUAGCUAGUUGGUGAGAUAAUAGCCCACCAAGGCGAUGAUACGUAGCCGACCUGAGAGGGUAAUCGGCCACAUUGGGACUGAGACACGGCCCAAACUCCUACGGGAGGCAGCAGUAGGGAAUCUUCCACAAUGGACGAAAGUCUGAUGGAGCAACGCCGCGUGAGUGAAGAAGGUUUUCGGAUCGUAAAACUCUGUUGUUGAAGAAGAACAGGGACUAGAGUAACUGUUAGUCCUUUGACGGUAUCCAACCAGAAAGCCACGGCUAACUACGUGCCAGCAGCCGCGGUAAUACGUAGGUGGCAAGCGUUGUCCGGAUUUAUUGGGCGUAAAGCGAGCGCAGGCGGUUUCUUAAGUCUGAUGUGAAAGCCUUCGGCUUAACCGAAGAAGUGCAUCAGAUACUGGGAAACUUGAGUGCAGAAGAGGAAAGUGGAACUCCAUGUGUAGCGGUGAAAUGCGUAGAUAUAUGGAAGAACACCAGUGGCGAAGGCGGCUUUCUGGUCUGUAACUGACGCUGAGGCUCGAAAGUAUGGGGAGCGAACAGGAUUAGAUACCCUGGUAGUCCAUACCGUAAACGAUGAAUGCUAAGUGUUGGAGGGUUUCCGCCCUUCAGUGCUGCAGCUAACGCAUUAAGCAUUCCGCCUGGGGAGUACGACCGCAAGGUUGAAACUCAAAGGAAUUGACGGGGGCCUGCACAAGCGGUGGAGCAUGUGGUUUAAUUCGAAGCUACGCGAAGAACCUUACCAGGUCUUGACAUCUAGCGCCAAUCCUAGAGAUAGGACGUUCCCUUCGGGGACGCUAAGACAGGUGGUGCAUGGUUGUCGUCAGCUCGUGUCGUGAGAUGUUGGGUUAAGUCCCGCAACGAGCGCAACCCUUAUGAUUAGUUGCCAGCAUUUAGUUGGGCACUCAAAUCAGACUGCCGGUGACAAACCGGAGGAAGGU
rnacentral:rRNA from 1 species